AUACGGGGGGGGCAAGCGUUGUUCGGAAUUACUGGGCGUAAAGGGCGCGUAGGCGGGCGGGAAAGUCUCUCGUGAAAUCCCACGGCUCAACCGUGGAAUUGCGGGAGAUACUACUCGUCUUGAGUUCGGGAGAGGGGUGUGGAAUUCCCAGUGUAGCGGUGAAAUGCGUAGAUAUUGGGAGGAACACCGGUGGCGAAGGCGGCACUCUGGACCGAUACUGACGCUGAGGCGCGAAAGCUAGGGGAGCAAACGGGAUUAGAAACCCCAGUAGUCC
rnacentral:rRNA from 1 species